CUACGUAGGUGACAAGCGUUAUCCGGAUUUACUGGGUGUAAAGGGCGUGUAGGCGGUUUAGCAAGUCAGAAGUGAAAUUCCCGGGCUUAACUUGGGCGCUGCUUCUGAAACUGCUUUACUUGAGUGCUGGAGAGGAUAGUGGAAUUCCUAGUGUAGCGGUAAAAUGCGCAGAUAUUAGGAGGAACACCGGUGGCGAAGGCGGCUAUCUGGACAGUAACUGACGCUGAGGCGCGAAAGCACGGGGAGCAAACAGGAUUAGAUACCCUGGUAGUCCGUGCCGUAAACGAUGAAUACUAGGUGUAGGGGGUAUCGACUCCCUCUGUGCCGCAGUUAACACAUUAAGUAUUCCACCUGGGGAGUACGCCGGCAACGGUGAAACUCAAAUGAAUUGGCGGGG
rnacentral:rRNA from 1 species